GAUGAACGCUGGCGGCGUGCCUAAUACAUGCAAGUCGAGCGAACAGACGAGGAGCUUGCUCCUCUGACGUUAGCGGCGGACGGGUGAGUAACACGUGGAUAACCUACCUAUAAGACUGGGAUAACUUCGGGAAACCGGAGCUAAUACCGGAUAAUAUAUUGAACCGCAUGGUUCAAUAGUGAAAGACGGUUUUGCUGUCAAUUAUAGAUGGAUCCGCGCCGCAUUAGCUAGUUGGUAAGGUAACGGCUUACCAAGGCAACGAUGCGUAGCCGAUCUGAGAGGGUGAUCAGCCACACUGGAACUGAGACACGGUCCAGACUCCUACGGGAGGCAGCAGUAGGGAAUCUUCCGCAAUGGGCGAAAGCCUGACGGAGCAACGCCGCGUGAGUGAUGAAGGUCUUCGGAUCGUAAAACUCUGUUAUUAGGGAAGAACAAAUGUGUAAGUAACUAUGCACGUCUUGACGGUACCUAAUCAGAAAGCCACGGCUAACUACGUG
rnacentral:rRNA from 1 species